rnacentral:rRNA from 1 species
UACGUAGGGACCAAGCGUUGUUCGGAUUUACUGGGCGGAAAGGGCGCGUAGGCGGCGCGGUAAGUCACUUGUGAAAUCUCUGAGCUUAACUCAGAACGGCCAAGUGAUACUGCAGUGCUAGAGUGUGGAAGGGGCAAUCGGAAUUCUUGGUGUAGCGGUGAAAUGCGUAGAUAUCAAGAGGAACACCUGAGGUGAAGACGGGUUGCUGGGCCAACACUGACGCUGAUGCGCGAAAGCCAGGGGAGCAAACGGG